CUAAAGGGGUAUAACUGGUAUAUUAAAAUUAGAAUUAAUUAACUGAUCAAAUUAUUAAAACACACGAUCCUCCUUUACCACUUUCAUAUACGGAUCACUUUAGCCAAAAACGCCUAAAAGAUCGCAAAACCCGUCUAUGAAGAUUCAAUGAUCCAUUAAUCAAAACAAAACCACAAUCCGAAUAAAAAAAAUCCAUUGAAUUCAUGGGAUUGGCUACCAAUUCGGGAUCUACGAAGGGGCUAUUUUGAGUAUAAAUAGAAGAAAAUUAUAUAAUCAAUAUGAAAAAAUGGUAUUUUUAACCUAAUAAGAUGUAUUGUUCUUCUGGUAUUUUUUCAUUGGCAGGAAGACGAAGACAUAACGAUAAGGUAAGAUUGUUGACUUCUUUUAACGAGUUUACCAAUAAGAAAAAAUGUCGAUGCAACUCGUCCCAACAGUAGAUCUGACGAAGAUAUAAGAGAAUUAUCAUUGGGUCAGACUAUGAGCGAAGGAGUUGAACGUGAACAAGGACGAUCAACGGAUCAAAACAGAGGCAAAAAGAUUAAGAGGAAAGAACGUAUAUCGGUGGAUGAAAAUAAGGACAAGGGAAUUAAAAUUAAAGAAAGUGAAUCAGUGGGAUGAUAAUCAUAGCACCGAAAUAAUAGGACUCAAAUUGGUGGAGUUCUGAACGAUAAGAAUAUGAUAGUUGGUGCGGAAACGGUUAAAAAGUCACAAGGACUGUAAAUAUGUGUUUUUUGAGCAAUAUGUAAUCAUGUGUGUUCGGAUGUUGAUUACUGUGUUGAAAUUGUAGUAUAUAAUGAAUUUCAGUGAAUCUUGUAAGUAUCGAAAAGGUUGUAAAUGUGUGUUUUUUGAGCGAUUAGUAUAUUUUGAGCAGUUGUAUA